UGUGAGAAAAAGGCUUUCUAUAUAGAAAUUAUUUAACUUUAUUUUAAUAAGUUUUUGAUGCGGUUUUAAAUGACAUUCUCAUAAGCAAGCUAGGAAGCUGUUGUAUAUUUUAGCCUAUGAUAAAAUGAUUGCAAAACCAGCUAGAAUGUUAUAUACAGAGCUGCAUCUAGUGGUCAUUUUUGGGGUGGCUAUAUUUGUGGGGUGGCUAUCUCAGGCUGAGCACUAUUCCUUCAUAACUUGGUUGAAGACAAAAUAUAUCUAUGAAAACUGGAAAUUACACCAAACUAAGAGGGAUGGCAAGUGCAAUGUCUGAAAAGGUUAGAACUUAAAAAAAAAAAAAAUCAUUGCAAGUUUCAUAGAUGGUGUGAAAGAGGAAAAAGCCUAUGAUGCAACUUGUUAGACAAAUGUGUCAUUCUGUUCAGCAGGAAAAACAGCAGGCAGAAGAACAACUGGAUGGGCAACAAUUCUUUCUGCAGGACAGUAUGUGUAUGCAACAGAAAAAUGAUCCUCAAGGUGACUUCAUUAUAGAGUGAAAAAGAUGUAUUCCACAUAAGCAACUAAGCAAAGACUGUGUUAGGUUUAUAUCUCUUGGGAAGGACCAUCAGCAAUCACUAAAUAGACCUAAUAAAUACUAGGGCUGGUCUGCACCACAGAUUUAAGCUUUCAAGCAGGUGUUUGGAAACACCUCUUGGGAGAAGACAACUGUGCACACCUCAUGAAGCUCAACACAGGAAGACACUAACAGCUGUGCUUCUAAGUCUGCUUUGCUCUAGGUGCCAAUUUUCUGUCUACUUUGUCUUCCAGCUUGCUGCCAAGCUUGUACUGGUAGAAAUACAAAGCUGAUUGGUGUCACA